UUCUCUUAAUUGCGUUUUUCUCUUUUAAACUGUUCUUUCUUGUGAGCUUGUUUUUAGGGAAAUUCUUUCAAAUUUAGUCUCUUGUCUCUAGAGAAAGGAAUGGAAAAUUAAUGUGAUAAUUACAGAUAUGAGUGCAAACGGUAUGGUGAUAGAAAGUUUAUUUAAAAGAAAUAUGUCAUGCAUUUAUUGGUUUGGCGCAAACAUAGGUGCUCAUAACUUUUUUCCCGUGAUAUAUUGUCGAGAGAAGUGCCUUCGCUUGUUUCUCAAAUAAGUACAUUGCAACAUCGUUUAUUGAGAUUAGUCAUGGAGGGAUUACUUUCGAUUUUGGACUCCAGUUGAACUGAACUUUAAGUGAGCUUUCUAUCUAAGCCAUGGUUUAGCUACUGAUAUGUCUGAGAAACAUGACUCUCACCUGUAUCCGAUCUCACAUAUAGGCAAAUCCCUGUAACCAACCUCAUAUACUGAGGGAACAUAGAAGUAAGCUUCUUAGUUUCUUCAUUAAACGCAUAGUUGGUGGCAUCAUGAGGGAAAAUAACUGCUGGAAUUCCGUAUUCCUUCAGCCGAUGUCACGAGGCUUUUGCAUUUCUCCUACGAAUCUAUAGUUAAGUAGGGAUGAGUGAGCUGCUGACUUUGCCGGCAUUUGGCAAAAUAAUAACAGAGAAAAAAAAGCUCAUGACUGGGCAUCCUUAGAUAAUUACCGGAAAAUGAAGCAUCCUCGAGAAAUGAAUCGAUGGUGUUCCCUAAGAGCAAACGAAAAUUUUGAUAUGAAAGAUUUUUUGUGUAUGACAUUUGAGAAGGCAAAUUCGUAAAAAAUCUCUAUGAAUUAAUCAAACCAUCCAGCUAAGCACCUUAACCGGCUUUCCUCUCUAGAACAAGAUGUGUGAGGAAAUGACUCUUUGCUGUAAGCGUAAAUGAAAUAGCGGGAAAUAGAUUAUGAACAGAAUGAUACCACGGAGAUCUCAAUUUUUUCUCUUAGUCCAACACAAAAUCGCAGCUUGACAAACUUUUAAUAAGUCUUAUUACCUCCCACAUGUUAGUGUUUUGCUUAUCAAGUUUUGGGCCAAUACUCUAUUCUUUCGCAUAAAUUUUUAUUUUCCCCACCGUUCUCAAGCUGAGCUAGAUGGAUUAGUUUCUUUGCUGCAAUCAUCACUUGUUUAAUUGCAGACAAAGAAUUGUUGGAGUGGGCAUAAACUUUGUUGAAUUACAUCCUCUUUCUUUCCUUUAUUGCAUUCUUGGAUUUCAAAGCACAAGAAAUUUCUUAUGUAAAAAUGUAGAAAACAUGCUCUGUGUCUUGUCCUACUUUGUUACUACAAUAAGUGCACAACCAACAUCCUAUCAUGCCAUGGAUCCGAAAAGCUGAAGCUUUACUCUUGAAUAGGAACUUAUUUCCUGAAAAUAUAGGUAUUGUGCUAGGAUAUGGGUUCUUUCUCCUUUUUAUUAUACUCUAGUGUUAUCCUCGUGUUUCCUAUUUUUAGAUUGAUAUUAGUACCUGAUGUUUCCUUUGCUUCCUUUUUAUUUUUUCUGGUUGUUGCUACUAUCUCGCUUUUCAUAGUCUUUUCUCUUUUGUCAUAACUGCUGUGUUUUUGCUUUAUUGAGCCGAAGGUCAUCCAACGACAACCUCUCUACUUUCACAAGGUAGGGGUAAGGUUUGCGUACAUAUUACCCUCCCCAGACCCCACUUGUAGGAAUACACUGAGUAUGUUGCUCUAGGACAAAAUGGUCAUAUAGCUUUUAAAGGAUAUUUCUGUAAGUUAACUUUGGACUUAGUAGGUUCCUACUUGUAGUAUAGUAUGAUAAUGUUGUGCAUUACAAGUAUGAAAAGCAUUUUACCGACGAAAGUAAUUACAAGAUCCACCUUCAAGUUUCUGCACUGGUGAAACUAUUAAAUUGAAAUUGAUGCAAUAAAUUAAAAUAAGUUCCAAUUUUGUUCAAAUAUUGAUGAGUGUCAAUCUGCUUUGAUAUGUGUGAGCUGAGACUAUUUAAGGAAUACCUACCCUAACCAAAACAAAAUAUGUUUACUAAUUUGCAAUUUGCUUGGAGAAACCAUUUGCUUAUUUUUAUUGAUUUAGUUCUGAUUGAGAUCUCUCCAUGGACUUUCUCUCUUCUCGUCUUCUUUUUACAUGUGUCUGGGACUUCUUCCCCUUUUUAAAAUUAGUCCCUGCAAAGCAGUAUUGAAGGAGGAAGCAAAUGGCUGGUGAACAAGAUUAAAGGUUAGUCUUCCUCCUCAUUAUCUUUUAGCUCCUUUUGUCUUCUGUAAACUUUUACGUCUAACCCUGAAGCUGUCUGAACACUAGCAUGCUAGUACCCCAUCCCCCUAGUGAACAUUAGGCUGGCACAGGAACAGAGAAAUAAAAUGCUCACCUUUUACUUCUUUUUGCAGUCUUGUCUCAUGAUGUAUAGGAUAGUUGAUUGUGGAUAUUCAGGCUGCCGAGUAAACUAGCUUAUGAUAAACCAUGUUGAAUGUCCCCAAAAAAACACAAUCAAUUUCUAGUUUUUUCUCAGAAAAAUCUAUUCUUUCUUGAAAUGAAAAAGAGGCUAAAGCUGUUUAGCUGGAUGGUUGGAAUACAACAACAAAAAAAGCCAGUGUAAUCCCACAAGUUGGGUUACCUUGAUGGUUUGAAUAAUUUAAUACUAUUUUGUAAAUGUUUGAUUUCUUAAAAGGUAUACCCAAAUAUUUUCUCAUAUCGAAUUCUUCACUUACUCGUAGAAACAACAUCGAUUAAUUUUGUUGAAGAUGCUGUCAUUUUAUCGAUGAUAAUCUAUGGACGCUCGUCAGUAUGAGUCUUGAGCUAGCUCUCUCUCUCUCUCUCUCUCUCUCUCUCUCUUAUUCCUUUGCCAAAAUAGUCAGGAGCUAUCUUAUCCCUGCUUUGCAUCGGAUUUGCAGGAAAAAUGCAAAAGCCAUUGCCAGAACUGCUAAAGGAGUAUGACCUUCCAGUAGGCAUUUUCCCUCGUGAUGCCACCAACUAUGAGUUCAAUGAAGAAACCAAGAAGCUUACUGUCUAUAUUCCCUCAGUAUGUGAAGUUGGUUACAG
rnacentral:lncRNA from 1 species